ensembl:processed_transcript Gm16759 predicted gene, 16759
UUAAACUUCAGAGCCACUUGGACUGGGUUUAUAGCACAAAGCUGUCCUGUGAUCAGAGGUCAGAAGAGGGCUUCGGAUCCACUGGCGCUGAACUGAUACAGGCUUCUGAGCCUUGAUAUGGGCGCUGGGAACUGAACCUGGGUCCUCUACAAGAACAAGUGAGCUUAACUGCCAAGCCAACUCUCCAGCACACAAAACUAGUUCCCUUAACCUUUGUGUUUAUUUGUACAUGACCAUCAUAUACGUCCAGACCAGUAAAAAACUACAAUCUAUUUUAUUAAAAACAAAACUAACUUGUAAGAAACUCAACUGUACACACCCAUGUGCUCAGUGUGCACACACAUGUGCACACAUUACUCUCCUGGUGGGUUAAUGCUUUGUCAUUUGGUAUCUAACUUAAUAAACACGUUCUUCUUUGCUGCACUUU